UACAGAGGGGGCAAGCGUUGUUCGGAAUUACUGGGCGUAAAGGGCGCGUAGGCGGCCUUCUAAGUCGAACGUGAAAUCCCUGGGCUCAACCCAGGAACUGCGUCCGAUACUGGAAGGCUUGAAUCCGGGAGAGGGAUGCGGAAUUCUAGGUGUAGCGGUGAAAUGCGUAGAUAUCUGGAGGAACACCGGUGGCGAAGGCGGCAUCCUGGACCGGCAUUGACGCUGAGGCGCGAAAGCCAGGGGAGCAAACGGG
rnacentral:rRNA from 1 species